GACAGGUGGUGCAUGGUUGUCGUCAGCUCGUGUCGUGAGAUGUUGGUUAGUCCGCAACGAGCGCAACCCUUGUCCUUAGUUACCAGCACGUUAAGGUGGGCACUCUAAGGAGACUGCCGGUGACAAACCGGAGGAAGGUGGGGAUGACGUCAAGUCAUCAUGGCCCUUACGGCCUGGGCUACACACGUGCUACAAUGGUCGGUACAAAGGGUUGCCAAGCCGCGAGGUGGAGCUAAUCCCAUAAAACCGAUCGUAGUCCGGAUCGCAGUCUGCAACUCGACUGCGUGAAGUCGGAAUCGCUAGUAAUCGUGAAUCAGAAUGUCACGGUGAAUACGUUCCCGGGCCUU
rnacentral:rRNA from 1 species